rnacentral:rRNA from 1 species
CCUACGGGAGGCAGCAGUGGGGAAUAUUGGACAAUGGGGGGAACCCUGAUCCAGCCAUGCCGCGUGUGUGAAGAAGGCCCUCGGGUUGUAAAGCACUUUCAGUGAGGAAGAACGCCUGGUGGUUAAUACCCAUCAGGAAAGACAUCACUCACAGAAGAAGCACCGGCUAACUCCGUGCCAGCAGCCGCGGUAAUACGGAGGGUGCGAGCGUUAAUCGGAAUUACUGGGCGUAAAGCGCGCGUAGGUGGCUUGAUAAGCCGGUUGUGAAAGCCCUGGGCUCAACCUGGGAACGGCAUCCGGAACUGUCAAGCUAGAGUGCAGGAGAGGAAGGUAGAAUUCCCGGUGUAGCGGUGAAAUGCGUAGAGAUCGGGAGGAAUACCAGUGGCGAAGGCGGCCUUCUGGACUGACACUGACACUGAGGUGCGAAAGCGUGGGUAGCAAACAGGAUUAGAUACCCUAGUAGUC